AGCUCCAAUAGCGUAUAUUAAAGUUGCUGCAGUUAAAAAGCUCGUAGUUGCAUUUCCGAGGCAAGGGAUUAGUCCGACCUUUGGUGGGUAUUUAAUCCUCUUGCCUCGUCCUUGAGUGGUGCUUCUUGGUAUUAAGUUAUCGAGGAGAUAGCCGCUCAUCGUUUACUGUGAGAAAAUUAGAGUGUUCAAAGCAGGCUUAUGCCGUUGAAUAUAUUAGCAUGGAAUAAUAAGAUAGGACCUCGGUACUAUUGUGUUGGUUUGAGAACCAAGGUAAUGAUGAAUAGGGAUAGUUGGGGGUAUUCGUAUUCAGUUGUCAGAGGUGAAAUUCUUAGAUUUACGGAAGACGAACUACUGCGAAAGCAUUUACCAAGGAUGUUUUCA
rnacentral:rRNA from 1 species